rnacentral:rRNA from 1 species
UUGCCAGACUCCUACGGGAGGCAGCAGUGAGGAAUAUUGGUCAAUGGUCGGGAGACUGAACCAGCCAAGCCGCGUGAGGGAGGAAGGUACAGAGUAUCGUAAACCUCUUUUGUCAGGGAACAAAGACUGGGACGCGUCCCCGGAUGAGUGUACCUGAAGAAAACGCAUCGGCUAACUCCGUGCCAGCAGCCGCGGUAAUACGGAGGAUGCGAGCGUUAUCCGGAUUUAUUGGGUUUAAAGGGUGCGCAGGCGGUCUGUUAAGUCAGUUGUGAAAGUUUGCGGCUCAACCGUAAAAUUGCAGUUGAAACUGGCAGUCUUGAGUACAGUAGAGGUGGGCGGAAUUCGUGGUGUAGCGGUGAAAUGCAUAGAUAUCACGCAGAACUCCGAUUGCGAAGGCAGCAUACCGGCGCGCAACUGACGCUCAUGCACGAAAGCGUGGGUAUCGAACAGGAUUAGAUACCCCCGUAUG